rnacentral:rRNA from 1 species
GACGAACGCUGGCGGCGCGCUUAACACAUGCAAGUCGAGCGAGAACUAGGGCUUCGGCCCUGGGGACAGCGGCGAACGGGUGAGUAACACGUGGGUAAUCUGCCCUUGACAUCGGGAUAGCCCGGGGAAACCCGGAUUAAUACCGAAUAGCCUCCGGAGCCUUCGGGCGCCGGAGAAAAGGUAGCUUCGGCCUCUGGUCAAGGAUGAGCCCGCGGCGGAUUAGCUUGUUGGCGGGGUAACGCCCACCAAGGCGACGAUCCGUAGCUGGUCUGAGAGGACGAUCAGCCACACUGGGACUGAGACACGGCCCAGACUCCUACGGGAGGCAGCAGUGGGGAAUCUUGCGCAAAUGCGGGAAACCGUGACGCAGCGACGCCGCGU